rnacentral:rRNA from 1 species
AGGAAAGCAGGGGAUCGCAAGACCUUGCGCUUUUGGAGCGGCCGAUGUCUGAUUAGCUAGUUGGUGAGGUAAGGCUUACCAAAGCGUCGAUCAGUAGCUGGUCUGAGAGGACGACCAGCCACACUGGGACUGAGACACGGCCCAGACUCCUACGGGAGGCAGCAGUGGGGAAUUUUGGACAAUGGGGGAAGCCCUGAUCCAGCCAUGCCGCGUGAGUGAAGAAGGCCUUCGGGUUGUAAAGCUCUUUCAGCCGGAACGAAACGGUCACAGCUAAUACCUGUGACUACUGACGGUACCGGAAGAAGAAGCACCGGCUAACUACGUGCCAGCAGCCGCGGUAAUACGUAGGGUGCGAGCGUUAAUCGGAAUUACUGGGCGUAAAGCGUGCGCAGGCGGUUUUGUAAGUCAGAUGUGAAAUCCCCGGGCUUAACCUGGGAACUGCGUUUGAAACUACAAAGCU